GUUUUCCAGGAUGCGUGGGAACCCUGAUUUAAUGUCUGUUUCAAGAAAACACACGGAGCAGCUGCAGGAGGAAGAAGUGAUCGCUCUGACGGGGAGACUGUGGCUUAUAAUCAGACGGGACUUUUCAGGAUGUGAUGAAGGUGAAGAGAACAGAUGGAGACUUAAAGAGCGACAGUUCAUGUUUCCUUUGAACUAAUUUAACAAAUAAAUGUCUAAAUAAAAAAUGAUCUGAAACCAUUGAUGUUGAAAUCCAUACAGUAAUCAAUAAACAGCGGUUCAUCACUCUC